UGUCUUCCUGACCAGCUGCUCUGUUCCCAGCUUAGAGGACCAGAGGGAGAAGCCACCUGCUACACGCUGGAUGCUGCAGCCUGUGCCACUGUGGCUCACAUCGCUGUGGUUGGUGGCAGCAACGGAGACUGCAGCCAGCUGGAGUGCUGUGAUGACAGUGCUUAUCAAUCCUGUCCCCGCCACACCACCAACAUACACAGAAAAAAAGCAGGCAAUGAGUUGGCUCCGGGAUGACCUCGUAUGAAGACGUUUCAUUCCUUAGUCUUGGCAAUUGACAUCACAAACUUGGGUACAAGCUACAAAAUUAAGGGAACCCAGUCGCUGCCUUACCUGGAGGGACGUCUGAGUGGCUGGGUGGAUGACA
rnacentral:lncRNA from 1 species